UACGUAGGGUGCGAGCGUUAAUCGGAAUUACUGGGCGUAAAGCGUGCGCAGGCGGUCUGUUAAGACCGAUGUGAAAUCCCCGGGCUUAAUCUGGGAACUGCAUUGGUGACUGGCAGGCUUUGAGUGUGGCAGAGGGAGGUAGAAUUCCACGUGUAGCAGUGAAAUGCGUAGAGAUGUGGAGGAAUACCGAUGGCGAAGGCAGCCUCCUGGGCCAACACUGACGCUCAUGCACGAAAGCGUGGGGAGCAAACAGG
rnacentral:rRNA from 1 species